AAAAAAAAGAACAGGAAGACGUCUGUGUUUAUUCAGAAGUACUAACACGUUCGGCAGCAGGAGAGGAGGUGGUGUAUUCUCAAGUAAACCUCCAAAGGAAAAGAAAACAUAAAACUAAAGUGGAAUCAGACAAUAUUUCCACAGAUGAAACGGUUUAUUCUCAAGUGAAAAUGACUGCAAAAGUGGAUAUGGAGGGCCGCAGACAUUAAAACGUCCGAUACUUUCUCUCCCUCGUUAAAAUAGGGUAAAGAUGCAAAACAUGUAAAUAUAUAAGAUAGAAGUGAUGUAUUUUACAAGUAAGUGGGAAUGAAUAGGCCCUGUUUGGUUUGAGCAUGUGUUUGUUAUAUUUGCAGCAUGUAAAGAUUGCAAGUCCUCCAGGCAUUUUUUGUAUGGACAACAUUUCUGUAAAGAGGGAGUAUUUUACUUCUUAUGGGGCAUUAACUGUGAACGCACAAUGUAUUUAGAUGCUACCAUGUAACCUUUUAUUUUUUUGACAAUAUUGCAAAAUUCGCUCCACUGUAUUAACAUGUUUAAUACAUUUUGCUUUCAUUUUUGACGGUCUGAGUCUCCCCUCCCUUUGCUCUCUGUGC